rnacentral:miRNA from 1 species
CAUCCAUUUCUUUCACCUGGGG